AGUGUGGACUUACAUCUACAUACAAGUAGUGUUUUUUAGGGUGGACCUAAGAACACAAAUUAUGUGAACAAAAAUAUCUUCAGUAGGAUAUUAAGUCCAAGUUUGAUAAUGGAGCUUAAUUAUGACGGUACUAGGGACAGGGAAGGUUUUGCGUCCUACAUUCAUUUAAAUGAAACAUUAUUCGAGUCACAAAGAAGAGACGGUUACCGCUUCACAGACCAUUUUAAAGACCUUCGACUGGCCUUCACUAGGGCCAAAAAUAAAACUUAUAAGGGUAAAAGUAUGGCCAAAAAGAUGAGAGAGGACGAAAACGGCCAGGAGUAAUACAAUAAGUUUUAAAGCAU